rnacentral:rRNA from 1 species
GACGAACGCUGGCGGCGUGCUUAACACAUGCAAGUCGAACGGAAAGGCCCUGCUUUUGUGGGGUGCUCGAGUGGCGAACGGGUGAGUAACACGUGAGUAACCUGCCCUUGACUUUGGGAUAACUUCAGGAAACUGGGGCUAAUACCGGAUAGGAGCUCCUGCUGCAUGGUGGGGGUUGGAAAGUUUCGGCGGUUGGGGAUGGACUUGCGGCUUAUCAGCUUGUUGUUGGGGUAGUGGCUUACCAAGGCUUUGACGGGUAGCCGGCCUGAGAGGGUGACCGGACACAUUGGGACUGAGAUACGGCCCAGACUCCUACGGGAGGCAGCAGUGGGGAAUAUUGCACAAUGGGCGGAAGCCUGAUGCAGCAACGCCGCGUGCGGGAUGACGGCCUUCGGGUUGUAAACCGCUUUCGCCUGUGACGAAGCGUGAGUGACGGUAAUGGGUAAAGAAGCACCGGCUAACUACGUG